rnacentral:rRNA from 1 species
UACGUAGGGUCCAAGCGUUGUCCGGAUUUAUUGGGCGUAAAGAGCUCGUAGGCGGCUUAGUAAGUCGGAUGUGAAAACUCGGGGCUCAACCCCGAGACGCCAUCCGAUACUGCUGUGGCUUGAGUCUGGUAGGGGAACACGGAAUUCCUGGUGUAGCGGUGAAAUGCGCAGAUAUCAGGAGGAACACCGAUGGCGAAGGCAGUGUUCUGGGCCAGUACUGACGGCUGAGGAGCGAAAGCGUGGGGAGCGAACAGG